UGGUUACUCACUAUUGCUUCC
rnacentral:piRNA from 1 species